rnacentral:rRNA from 1 species
AUUGAACGCUGGCGGCAGGCUUAACACAUGCAAGUCGAGCGGAGCGAGGGUGCUUGCACCUUAGCUUAGCGGCGGACGGGUGAGUAAUGCUUAGGAAUCUGCCUAUUAGUGGGGGACAACAUUCCGAAAGGAAUGCUAAUACCGCAUACGCCCUACGGGGGAAAGCAGGGGAUCUUCGGACCUUGCGCUAAUAGAUGAGCCUAAGUCGGAUUAGCUAGUUGGGGGGGUAAAGGCCUACCAAGGCGACGAUCUGUAGCGGGUCUGAGAGGAUGAUCCGCCACACUGGGACUGAGACACGGCCCAGACUCCUACGGGAGGCAGCAGUGGGGAAUAGUGGACAAUGGGCGGAAGCCUGAUCCAGCCAUGCCGCGUGUGUGAAGAAGGCCUUUUGGUUGUAAAGCACUUUAAGCGAGGAGGAGGCUACUUAGAUUAAUACUCUGGGAUAGUGGACGUUACUCGCAGAAUAAGCACCGGCUAACUCUGUGCCAGCAGCCGCCGUAA